GGCGGCUGCGGGCCCCGCCGUGCCCCGCCCGGAAGCUGCCUUUCCGCUGGCGCUGCCCGCCUUCGACCCGGUGUUGCCGCUGCGGCGGUGAUGGAGCGUAGACCCCUGAGGUCCGCUCUGCGCUGCUGGCGGAGACGAGGCCGCGGGGACCGCAGCGCCGGGCGACCACACCCUCGGUUUGGGGGACAAGCCUGCCUUUUGCGCACUUGGACUUUUCCCCACCCUCUUCUAAGUCUUAGUGCCUCCGUACCAGAUAAAGAUUUGCCUGAGAUUCCCAAGCAUCUCAAUGCCGGUACCCACAGUUCCUACUCACAUUUGUCCAACGAAUGUGAAGAAAACAGCAACCAAAUGACAGCCACAGAAUUGCAUCAAAAUACAAAAGCCAGGUGGAGGACAUGGGAGUUGGGGGCACCAGGGGGUCCUUCUUUGUUUCAAGAGGUUUCAUCUUCAAUCCUGCUCGGUCUCCUGUAGCCUCUCACCCGACUCGCCAGUCACCUGCUCACAUCUCCCUGCUUUAUUUCCUUCUCACAGUUUAAGAUUAUAAUUACUACUCACUAAAUUAGAUGUAAGUUCUUUAAAAUGAGGGGUCUUGCCUAGUGCUUGGCAGGGUUUACCAUAUGGCAGGCAUAGGGCAAAUAUUUGUUGAAUUAAUAAACUAGUUCCUUAAUAAACCUCCGUGUUGAUA
rnacentral:lncRNA from 1 species